AGUGCAAGGACACUGACCCUGCUGCCAGCUGGCCCAGAGCUCCCUGCUGCCCACGUGUCCUCCCCUCUUACCUUUAAAUAGGCCAUGGUUGCAGGUGGAUGUUCUCAGCAUUUCAUCCACUGAGGCUUCCUUCACCCCCAUUCUGAGAGACAGCAUCCCAACAUCUAAAUAAACAAGAACAGAAUAACAAAACUUCCUGCCUGCCUGCUGCUGCACUGAGCUUACUGCCCCACCAGUCCCUGGGCGUGUCUGCUUACAGAUGUGAGCCACCAGGGAACCCCUGGAGCAGGGACAUGUGGAAUAAUCUCCCUUCAGCACUGCACUUGCCUGAAUUAGUACUACUAAGAAUAUGGAGGGAAAACAUUUCUCAUGUACUACAGUAAAAGAAGCUUUUACCUUGGGAAUACAAGUUUGCCAGGCAGC